ensembl:lncRNA
CUCCACUCUAUUACUCUACCUAGGUGACUCGACUCAAAGCCAGGUGAAGCAGUUUGGGAACCACAAACAGGGCACCUGAUGGAGUCUGCCAGCUCGGACUCCUGACUACACAACACAGUCAUUCAGCUCCCAUUAAACAGGUCAUUGCUAAAAUGAGCAAAAAUAGACAUUAUUCUGGGUUGAAAAGGGAGAAGAGUUGGAAAAUUGAGAUUGGUCUUAUGGAACUUCAGCCACUUGGAAAGCUCAGUGCCAACUCAAAAAGUGUCUUUAAGCAAAAUGACGUGAAUAUGGAUGUAAGUCAAGAAGGGCCCAGGAUCAUGCAUCUGCCUUUAAAGUUUCAUGUGGGAAGGCUGGUACCAGACUUUGUGGAUCCAUCUGGGGUUCUCAGAGGCCUGUUGUGAAGACUGAUGUCAUGAGAGCAGAAUAGCAACCAUAUUGGCAACUCUCACUUCCUUUUGCUGGUAACUGGUCCAGAAUAUACAUAAUCCAUUGUAGAGAACAAAUGCAU